rnacentral:rRNA from 1 species
CGUAGGUGGCGAGCGUUAUCCGGAUUUAUUGGGUUUAAAGGGUGCGUAGGCGGCUGAUUAAGUCAGCGGUGAAAGGUAGCAGCUUAACUGUUUUACAUGCCGUUGAUACUGGUUAGCUUGAGUUGACAGAAGGCAGAUAGAAUUUCUGGUGUAGCGGUGAAAUGCUUAGAUACCAGGAGGAAUACCGAUUGCGAAGGCAGUCUGCUGCAGUCACACUGACGCUGAGGCACGAAAGUGCGGGGAUCAAACAGGAUUAGAUACCCUGGUAGUCCGCACAGUAAACGAUGAUUACUAGUUGUUGGCGCAAGUCAGUGACCAAGGGAAACCGAUAAGUAAUCCACCUGGGGAGUACGCCGGCAACGGUG